UUGGAGCUGGCUAGCAGGGACCAUCUGAGUCCGAAGGUUCUGGAACCCACCUGCCUGCCCUCCAGAGCAGCCCAAAGCUGAACUGCUUCCUGCUGCUCUGCAGAGCAGGGGUUUGCCUUCAUCUCCGUAGGUACAGACGAUGCUGGCAGCUCCCCUUCUCCUCUCAUCCCCCUGGACAUCCUCUGUGGUCACCUGCAGGUCUCCUCCAGCCAGCCGGCUGGCUCGCAGUAAGAACCGCCAGGGCACUUGCGAAUGUCCAGGCAGCGGCCUCGCCUUGCCAGGGGACUUCAGACGCCAGCCUCCAGCACCAGGAGGGAUAAAUGCCUCUUGUUGAAGCCGCCCCGUCUGGGGUAUCUGCUUUUGGCAGCUGAGCGGACUCAUACUGGUCUAGACUCACAGUCUGUAACCUCUGGGAGGAGGUCCAGGAAUGGAACCAUCCGAGAUGGAUUCUCUGAUAUUUUCUGGGAGGAAUCAAGGGACUCCAAUGCUGGAAGCAAGGCCCCUGGAGGACCUCAGGGUGGUGCUGACAGCCCUUUGUUACUCAGGGACUCACCGGUGUCCGCCCAAGCAGUUCCCCCUUUCCGUCGGCCUCAGGGAACUGCUCAGGAGAUCUUCUCAUGAGAGGAAUCCCGGCUGCUCCGCAGACAGCUGCCAGCGUUCAGACCCUGAGGCUGCCUCCGGCUCCACAAGUGGGGAUGUGCCCAGGCAGGUCUCAGGACGGAGCCUCGAGCAGCAGGAGAGGCCGUGUGGAUGGAGCCCCUGGGGACGGAGAGGAGGAGGAAGGUGAGUGUCCAUGUGAGCAGCUCCCGUCUCUCUCCAUACUUCAUACCAUCCCACGCAGGAGUCCUCAUAGCAUCCAUUUCACACAAACGGUGUUGGAGAUCCUGUGGUGAUGAUGUCUGAUGUUCAUGCUCCCCCUUGGAGGUGGACUGGGUGGAGCAGAGGUGUCAUCUGAUUCACCGUACAGGACAGCGUCCAGCCUUCAUGCCGGGACGUCCUCCAGGGACGCUGUCUGGAGUCACAGGCUUCAGGAAGGUAGGUGCUUCGUCUGUAACGUCUUUAGCCUGAAAGGAAGCAGCCUUUAAGGAAAUCUGGAAUCUAAACAUGAGCCUUUGCACAGAAGAGAAAGAAACUUGUGGACUUGGAGAACAGACUUGUGGUUGCA